CCAACAUCCUCGGGGCCUUUCCCAAAUGGUGACUAGAGAGCAGAGGAGGCUGCAGAGGCAAGGAAUAACACAGGAGAACUGGCUGACUUGCAAGAAGGCAGAGGCAUUCAUGUUUGAGGGGCCAUGUCUCUGAGGGUGACCAGUGUGUUCGAGACUAGAGUCUAAAUAAGCUAGGAAGAUAAAUUCAUCCUACCAAGACAGCAGCAAGCCCUGCUUUGCUCCAUCAUAUAUUGCUAAUGUCUUCUGUACAAAGACAAGAGAUAUUGGUGAAUCCCAUCUGGCAAGAAGAAAUAAUUGUAACUAAGCUUUAUCUAAAUGAAGACAGUUUUACAUCUCAUUUAAAGGAACUCACUGUCAAAACAGUCUGGCAUAGAAGAGGAUGAACAAUUAAUAACCUGGAUUACAGCAGAGUUUCAGUAUCUUAUUACCUGCAUUAAGGGGCAGGGUGGAAGAUUACUUUGACAUCACUUUUGGAAACACCAUCUCAUCAGGGAUUCUGAAGUCCCUACUCUGUUUUUGUCAUAUUAUAGAAAUUACAGAGGUCAGGUGCUGGCUCCAUUUGCAGCUCAGUUGGCAUUUGUGUGGCAAGGAGAUGUGGAGUUUAAGACUAUCUGAUUGGUAAAGGUCUGGCAUGUCUCCUAUUUGAUCUUUUAAUUAGGAGAAAUUCAUCCUAGUCUUUCUUAAAACGCCUACUCAUUGAUUUUCUUUUGGCCAUAUUCUAAGGCCUUUUCUUUGGGUAUAUUUAUAAUUUUCUAUUAAAAAAAUUUCACAUUUCAGCACAAGGAACAAAUUUAUCUAGCAUUAUUUAUAGCUUUAAAAAUGUGAUGCAGAAUAUAGUCUAAAAUUCCUGAAUAUUUAAGCUUCUGCCUUAUUUUUCACUCAGGAGUAACAAAUCCUGCUUACUGGUUCAGAAGGUAUUAUUGUCCUUGACGUUUAUGAACUGUGCUCCAGAGAAAUCAAAUAAUAUAUAAUAAUAUCAAAAUAAAAUA